AGCUUUCUAGUUUAUUAUAAAAUACUUAUUUUGAAAAUAAGUGAGAGUGAGUGAUUUUACUGUUAGCUG
rnacentral:tRNA from 1 species